GUAAAAAUCUCCUCUUUCUGGAAGCUCAUCUUUCUGCUUUGGAGCUGCCAUUACUACUACUGAACAGCAACCUAUUGUGCCCUUUGAUUCAUAUAGAUGUAGUCUUGACUGUCUCAACAUCUGAACUGUGACCUCAGAGCUUAUUCUUCAACCCAAAAGGAUUUCUCAUCACCAUCUGGCUCUUUUGGCAAAUCGGCAAGAAUUCACCCAGAAAGGGUGUUUUCUAAGGCAAGUGUUGAAAGUCAACGGAAAUCCAUCAGAGAAGGUCCGUCAUGCACUGACGUACAGUUAAAACCAUGUUAAUCUCAAAGUUGCAAAUUGGAGCCUCUUCCUUUUUCUUGCCACUGUGCAGGGUGUCCUUCAGGUCUCCUUCCAGCAUCAUGUGUGAGAGCCUGUCCAAAGAGAUUUGACAAGGGCCCUGCAAGGAGAAAGAAAUAAAACCCAGAGAGAUGAGGCAAACAUAUUAAUCUUGUUAAGUUAAACGCCGACCCCCACCUCCUCUCUUCGUGCUUCUCCGCUCGUCUCUGCUCCCCAUUCCCCACACAGAUAAUGUGCUCUGCUCACAGUGAAAAAUCAGCUAAUUUCAGACCACUACUCAGUCUGGCUUACAGAGGCUCUUAGGGUGGUGCAGAGCUGUGUGCAGCUCCUCCAUUAGUCGCCCCCCACCACUGUCUCCGCCUUUGUCACUGUCGCUGUUUCUGUGUCUGACUGUGUCUCUCUGCAACACACACAUUUAAUCUUCAGUCGCUAUCCCUUUUCGCUCUCUCUAUCUCUCUCCGAACACACGCACGCAUACAGGAAACCUUGUGCACAUUUAUCUUACCCUCUCAUCCCCAGUCCAGCUGUGACCUUGAGAUGUUUGAUGGAUGCAGGUCUUUGAGGAAAGUGAGUUUUAAUUUUUAGAUUGACAUGGAUGGGACUGAUAGAUUUUGUUAGUGACAAAGAAACGGGGAGUUGGGUGAAAGACAAAACACAAAAUCACACAAAUUACAAGCAGAAGAGGAGGAAAAUGUAGAGGCUUCCACAGUCUGUAGAGCUGAUGGACAAUGUUUCCCCCUUGUGGUGCUGGCAAGCAGGUAGGAUAUCUUUUGUGUGCAUUUUUGAAACCCAA